GACGAACGCUGGCGGCGUGCUUAACACAUGCAAGUCGAACGGAAAGGCCUCUUUCGGGGGGUACUCGAGUGGCGAACGGGUGAGUAACACGUGAGUAACCUGCCCUUGACUUUGGGAUAACUUCAGGAAACUGGGGCUAAUACCGGAUAGGAGCUCCUGCUGCAGGGUGGGGGUGGGAAAGUUUCGGCGGUUGGGGAUGGACUCGCGGCUUAUCAGCUUGUUGGUGGGGUAGUGGCUUACCAAGGCUUUGACGGGUAGCCGGCCUGAGAGGGUGACCGGCCACAUUGGGACUGAGAUACGGCCCAGACUCCUACGGGAGGCAGCAGUGGGGAAUAUUGCACAAUGGGUGGAAGCCUGAUGCAGCAACGCCGUGUGCGGGAUGACGGCCUUCGGGUUGUAAACCGCUUUCGCUCAUGACGAAGCUUUGUGUGACGGUAGUGGGUAAAGAAGCACCGGCUAACUACGUG
rnacentral:rRNA from 1 species